rnacentral:misc_RNA from 1 species
UAAAAUAAUGAUGACAUACCCAUUUGGUACCACUGCUCUUUUGUAGUGGGUGAAUGGGGAGUCUCUUAAACCUCUGUGCACUGUAAUAGUAUCGGGCCUAGGCAGAGCAGUCUUUACGGAUAGCAAAGCUUGGGCCCAAAAACGGUUUCGGCCGUAUAAACAACUUUUUAAUUUUGACUGACUUUUGUUUCUAAAGAAUCAAAAA